GUCUUUAGCAUGAAGGAAAAGAGAACACUGAAGAGGGAAGACUGCACUGGUUCCAAGUACACUGUCUAGUGUCCAAGGAGGACACUGAAGAGUUCCAGAGGUGACAGAAGAAGAGAACUAAUCAGAAAGCAGACCAAAAGUAGGGCGGCACCACACUGCACUGUGCCCAGGGCUGGCUCUAGACCUCCAGGAAUUGCUCUUGUGGACUUAACAUUGAACUGAAGCCAAAUGGGACUUGGAAUCUCCCACGUCAUUGCCUCUGUGAUCCUGGCGAGCCAGUUGCCUCCCUCCCUGUACUAGCUCCUCUGACCAAGCUUCCUGGAGCUCCCGAUGUCUAGAGUGCCUUGCUGACCACAAGGAACAGGAGGAGCUGUUUCCAUACUCCAGUAGAAGCCUCUAUGUGCAAAUUCUUCAUUUGUGUGAACACUUCUCUUUUGU
ensembl:lncRNA